rnacentral:lncRNA from 1 species
GCAAGAUUUUUUACCAGGAGGAUGGCCUCCAAAGUGUUUGAAAAUCAGGCCCAUAAGAGAACACAGUGUGGGGGGCUGGGGCGGGGGCGCGUGCACACACACGUGUGUAUGUGAGUGUGGGGAGCUGUGUGGCUUCUCCUAACUUCCAGAAGUCAGGAAAUGGUUACAGAGGCAGAAUGUGGGAGUAGCUGAUGGCAAUAGCCCAAAGAUUUUACUUAAAAAUGCGAGAAAACCAAAGGCUGUGGAGAUAGGAACUUUCCCCCUCUCUUGAAGUGGACUAAGGAAGGUGAUUAAGUAAGAAAAGAAGGCACAGCCAGUAACUUUCCAAGUAGAAUUGGAUGCACGCCUGGGGUGAGUCUGGACGUCAGUUAAACUGAGAAAUACUCUGAUUCCCACUGACCCUCUUGAUUCACCAGGAACAGAUGGGGGCCGAGAGAUAUCACAACCCCAGCGAAUAAAGGGACGCUUUUGUCACAAGGGGAAAACAGAAGGGUUUGGCGGACAGAGCAGUGGAGAAAUUUGUGAUCAAAGUUAACAUCAUCAGUAAAAAGACAACAGAUAUCAUAUGUCUUCUGAUAUGAUGCACUGAGAAGAACACAACAUCACUUAUCUGAUAUUCCUGCCUAAAAAAUGCAUAAACUUAGUUAAUUAUGAGAAAACAUCAAACAAACUCAAAUUAAAGGAUAUUCCACAAAGUAACUGGAUUGUACUCUUCAAAAAUGUCAAGAUCAUAAAGGAUAAGGAAAGACUGAGGAAUUGUUCUGGAAUAAAGACCCGAGACAUGACAACUGAAUGUUAUGCAUGGUCCUAGAUUUUCUUUGCUUAUAAUGAAUAUUAUUAGGACAGUUGGAAAAUUUAAAUAUAGCCAUUUAGCAUCAUAUCAGUAUUAAUUUCUUGAUUAUGAUACUGAUUGUGGUUAUGGAAGAGAAUGUCCUUGUUUUUAGUAAACAUACACUAAAGUAUUUAGGGAUAGAUAGAUAAAGCAAAUGUG